rnacentral:rRNA from 1 species
AGAGUUUGAUCCUGGCUCAGGAUGAACGCUAGCGGCAGGCCUAAUACAUGCAAGUCGAACGGUGAUAGCAAUAUCAUAGUGGCGCACGGGUGCGUAACACGUAUGCAACCUACCUUAUACUGAGGGAUAGCCUUUCGAAAGGGAGAUUAAUACCUCAUAACACAUUGAACUGGCAUCAGUUUAUUGUUAAAGAUUUAUUGGUAUAAAAUGGACAUGCGUCCAAUUAGUUAGUUGGCGAGGUAACGGCUCACCAAGACGAUGAUUGGUAGGGGAACUGAGAGGUUAAUCCCCCACACUGGCACUGAGAUACGGGCCAGACUCCUACGGGAGGCAACAGUAGGGAAUAUUGGGCAAUGGAGGCAACUCUGACCCAACCAUGCCGCGUGCACGAAGAAGGCGUUAUGCGUUGUAAACUGCUUUUAUAUAGGAAGAAAUAGACCUUGCGAGGUAAGUUGACGGUACUAUAUGAAUAAGCACCGGCUAACUCCGUGCCAGCAGCCGCGGUAAUACGGAGGGUGCAAGCGUUGUCCGGAUUUAUUGGGUUUAAAGGGUGCGU